rnacentral:rRNA from 1 species
AGUUAACGCUGGCAGCGUGCAUAACACAUGCAAGUCGAGCGGUCCUACUGCCGCAGCAAUGCGGUGAUAGGAUAGCGGCAGACGAGUGAGUAACACGUAAGAAACCUGCCCCGAAAUGGGGGACAACCUGUCGAAAGACGGGCUAAUAUCCCAUACGAUCCCCCGAUGGCAUCUUUAGGGAUGAAAGGCCCGCAAGGGUCGGUUUUGGGUAGGGUCUUGCGGCCUAUCAGCUAGUUGGUGGGGUAACGGCCUACCAAGGCGAUGACGGGUAGCCGGCCUGAAAGGGCGAUC